rnacentral:lncRNA from 1 species
GCACCGUUGGCUCAAGUUUUUCCCAUUGAACAAAAUGGGAAAGAAGAAAAAUUGUUACAUAGUGUGAAAAUAUGCAAAAAGCAAAAUGAAUUCAUUGUCCUCUGAUUUAUAUUGGAAUAGGCAAAUGUGGGUAGAAAUUCCCAGAUAUUCUUAAAGCACUCAGAUUCCAAACCAGGCUGCUGCUCCUGGAAACUUCAUCGUCCCAGAGAUGUUCUCAAGGAUCCGCGCUGUGCAACCUCCUGCUCCUCCCGCUCCGCCUGCCCGCAGCCGGGAGGCGCGCCCGCAGCUCGCUCCGUCCGCCCAUCCGCGCUGCGCCCGCCGUCUCUGCCCUGCGGGAGGGGGAGGAGGGAGGAAGAAAAAGAGGGAGGGAGGGAGCAGCCCCGUAC